CCUACGGGGUGCAGCAGUGAGGAAUAUUGGUCAAUGGGCGCGAGCCUGAACCAGCCAAGUAGCGUGAAGGAUGACUGCCCUACGGGUUGUAAACUUCUUUUAUCAAGGAAUAAAGUGAGGCACGUGUGCCUUUUUGUAUGUACUUUAUGAAUAAGGAUCGGCUAACUCCGUGCCAGCAGCCGCGGUAAUACGGAGGAUCCGAGCGUUUACCGGAUUUAUUGGGGUUAAAGGGAGGGGAGAUGGGUUGGUAAGUCAGUUGUGAAAGUUUUGGGGGUAAACCGUAAAUUGCAAUUGAUACUGGUAGUCUUGAGUACAGUUGAGGUAGGCGGAAUUCGUGGUGUAGCGGUGAAAUGCUUAGAUAUCACGAAGAACUCCGAUUGCGAAGGCAGCUUACUAAACUGCCACUGACAUUGAUGCUCGAAAGUGUGGGUAUCAAACAGGAUUAGAUACCCGAGUAGUC
rnacentral:rRNA from 1 species